rnacentral:tRNA from 1 species
AGGAAUAUAGCUUAAUUGGUAGAGUGCUUGCCUCUCUGCACAAGAACCCUGGGUUCAAUCUCCAGCACUACAA